ACCCGGUAACAAUACAAAAGUAAACAAUAUUUACAAAAUAAUUUUUUAACAUGAAUUUAAAUUUUAAAAUUUUUAUUGCAUUAGUUUUUGGGUCGGUUGUCACAGCAGGAUUAAUGUUAAGAAAACGAAAAACCCUAAAUGAUGUAAAUGAAUUAGACAAGAAUGAUAAAGACAAGAUAAUACUGGAGGGUCGAGCACUACAAUAUGUAAUAAUUUGUGGUACAUUCGUGGUUGGGAGUAUGAUCGGUUUAUUACCAAUUCGAAUAAUAUACAUCUUCAUGUUAAUUGGAAUAUUUAUAUUUACAUUUGUAAUUGUAAUCUCACCAAAUUAUAAAAUUCGUUUUGUUUUGCUGCAAGGCCGAAUCAUUAUAAAUGUUGAUCUAGGAUUACUACCAGAAGUAAAGGUAAUAAGAUUUAUUCAACUCAGUGGUUAAAUGCGGCGAUCAUACAUACAUAUAUAUAUAUAUAUAUAUAUAUAAUAAGUGAGAAAUUUGGUUAAAACGCUAUCAACUUCCAGCUGACACUCUAUCCCAAAAUAAUGUUGAAUUGUGCGGAAACAUUUUGAAAAAAUUAUGUUUUAAAACUUUUUAGAGAACAGGUUAAAACCAGAUGCUAUAUCUACACUAUUUCCAGAUAAUUGUGACGUGAUUACUACAGACAUGUCUAGUGAGAAAGUUAGAACUUGUACCAGUUCGAGUAAUACUGUGUCUUGUGGCUAAAUACUUCACUAAAAAUUACUGAUGACCCUGGCAAAUAUAUUUUUAUAUUUAUUUUAAAA